UUACGGCCAUAUCACAUUGAAACAUCGGUUCCCGUAAGUUAACAGAAGUUAAGAGACGUCGAGACUGGUCAGUACUUAGAUGGGUGACCGUUUGGGAAUACUAGGUACUGUG